AUACCUUAUAUAAGGGGCAUCCCAUAUAGCAUAAAAUCUGAUCCAAGAGUGGUUUAGGUGUGGGAUUAGAUGAGGAUAAGCCAAGAAAAAUCUGAAGUAAAAAAGAAAAGAAAAAGAAAAAGAAAAAUAGAAAGGAAGGAAAGAGAGAAAAUGGAAAGCAUGAGAUGCUUGUCCAAAAAUCAGAUUGUUCAUAUGUUGAACUUAUAAUCUGAUUUAUGUGUAGUGAGAUCUUUUGAGAAAAGAUUCCAAGAGAAGUCCUAGUGAAGAUUUUGAAGGCAUACAAGCAAUGGUAGAAUCUUUUCUUGCGAA
rnacentral:lncRNA from 1 species